AUAUAUAAAAUAAAAUCACUGCUCAGCAGUAGUCAGUUUAUAAACCAGAAUCCAUGAGACUGAGUUCUAUUUUUUGUGCAGACUGCAACAGCCUGAAUGGGGUCCUGCAGUGUACCUGUGAAGACAGCUACACCUGGUUUCCUCCCUCAUGCCUGGAUCCCCAGAACUGCUACCUUCACACGGCUGGAGCACUACCAAGCUGUGAAUGUCAUCUCAACAACCUCAGCCAGAGUGUCAAUUUCUGUGAGAGAACAAAGAUUUGGGGCACUUUCAAAAUUAAUGAAAGGUUUACAAAUGACCUUUUGAAUUCAUCUUCUGCUAUAUACUCCAAAUAUGCAAAUGGAAUUGAAAUUCAACUUAAAAAAGCAUACGAAAGAAUUGAAGGUUUUGAGUCGGUUCAGGUCACCCAAUUUCGAAAUGGAAGCAUCAUUGCUUGGUAUGAAGUUGUUGGUUCCAGCAGUGCAUCUGAACUGCUGUCAGCCAUUGAACAGGUUGCCGAGAAGGCUAAGACAGCCCUUCACAAGCUGUUUCCAUUAGAAGACAGCUCUUUCAGAGUGUUCGGAAAAG
rnacentral:sRNA from 1 species